AGAUUGUUUAAAUAUUUAUAUAUCUUUGUUUUGAAUUAGAGAAACUGAAUAAAUAUUAUGAAAAUUUAUAGAAAUUUUAAGAAUUUUUUGAAAUUUUUUGUUAAUUAAGUUGUUGUUAUUAAAUGGUAAUUUUUUAAUCAUUUUUAAUUUUAAUAUUUUUUUAAUUUCCAUAAAAUAAAAUUAUUAUAGUGUAGUGUUUUUUUAGGUCUGGUUACUUUUUUAUUAUAAAAAAUAGAGAAAAUUGAUUAUUUUUUCUCUGCUUGUUUAUUUUAAAAUGUUCUAAAUUAACUUGCUCUGUGCUAUAUUUACUUAAAGAUUUUAUGUCUAUAUGAAGGCUUGAUUAACUCGCUUGAGUAGUGAUGUGAAACUUGCAGUAUUACUGAACAAUUUUUAUUUAAAAAGACUAAUGGAGGGAUCUAUCGAUUAGUCAAAAAUAAUUUUAGGGACUUAUGGUUUUUUUGUUUCAUGAACCCUAGUUCUUUUUAACUCCCAAACGGUUAUGUCACCUCUUUUGUACUUAUUUCCAGUCGACUUAUUUGAGUUGGUUGCGGUGGAACUUUUGCUUUUAUAAAGACUUUUUAUAAAUGGCAGAUGAGGCAAAAG
rnacentral:rRNA from 1 species